UCUUCACGUAAUAAUCCACGAUUCGUGCGUUCAGAUGAGUGUUCGCCCUCCAAACCACAGCAGCGGAACUGAGUCCGUGUCUCUGCCUCCUCGGCUUCUGCGCGAGUGAAGGCGCAGUGUGUGUGUGUGUGUGUGUGUGUGUGUGUGUGUGUGUUUGCGUGGGGGGUGGGUGUGUGUCUCCGGAGGCUUCUUGCACUGACUCUCUCUCUCUCUCUCUCUCUCUCUCUCUUCUUUCCUAGUACGAGAAAGGCGCCUAAAAAGCAGCGAUUCUGCACGCGCGUUUCCUCAAAACGGCACAGGACCGCCGAAGCAUGAUGUUCAGACUCACAAACACGCGCGCGCGCGCUCGCUCUCCGGGAGACAGACGCAGAGCUCCGGAGCGCGCCUCGCUGCCCCCGGUGACAGCUGCACUGGCGGGAGCGCGCACGCCGGAGAACGGGGAAGGAUCGGAGAAAAAAAAGGGAGCACGUGAAUCCUGACAGCUGCGUGAGUCUCGUCGGGAUAAAAACAAGCUUGCGGCGCCAUCUGCUGGCCAGAAGCCUUCACUGUUUCUCAAGUUCUGCGUACCUGUGUUUCGUUGUAGGUUUUGUUUUUUAUUUAAUGAAGCUGUGGAGCAAUUUCUCCCCGAAUUGUGACAGAAAAACAAGUGGAUCUAGCAGUGGUUCAAACCUCCUCUUCACCCAGGGAUCUCUCAUAUAAACCCUCCCCUUUGAAAAGCUAUAAAAUGGGUGCUGAAACAGACACGUUAUUUCAUUCACCUCCUGAUCAAAGAUGGAUCUGCAGAUCUCAGUUUUUCUUCUGAUCAGUCUUUUCACUGCAGGACACUCUUUGAGUUGUUAUGAGUGCAAAGAUUCCUGUGCCAAUGAAAACAUAAAAAAAUGUCUCAAUGGAGAGUCUCAGUGCCUGAGUUCAACAACAAUGAUAAAAGUCGCUGGGGUCAGUCUUGAAGUAAAUGAUAAAGACUGUUCUGCUGACUGUUUCACUGGAUCUGUGAACUACAACAUUGGACAAAUAUCUUCUGAAUGCUGUAACACACCCCUGUGCAACCAACAAGACAUUUCAGAUAUUUCUAAGGUCUACAAUGGAUUGAAAUGUUACUUUUGUGAUGAGAAGAGCUGCUCAAACAUACUGCGCUGUACAGGAGAUCAAGAUCGCUGCUUUAAAGCAAAGGUGAAUUUUAGAUUUGCAUCAACAGUAGUAAAAGGCUGUGUCUCCAAAUCUAUGUGUGAUGCUAAAACAUCACUUAAAUAUGUUCAGGAAGCCUCGUGCUGCUCAGGGAACCUGUGUAACGGUGUUCAGAACGUCUCUCAGAGCUUCCUGUUCCUCUUCUGUUCUCUUCUCUCCUUCGUCCUGCUGCACUGAACCCAGACGCUCUUCAGACACACCGCACCGAACACAGAGCUUGUACUUUCUCUGUACUUUGCAAUCAUCUCUUCAAUUUACUAUUAUAAACAAUGAUGAAAUGUAAUUUUGGGAUUAGCUUGCGAACACAUGCAUUUUAUACAUUUUAAUGAAUUUGUUAUAUUUUUUUUCAGAAUCAGAAAUUGCAUGAUUGUCCUCUGCUAAUUUUUUUUUUUAUUUAAUUCUAAUAAUGGCCCUUUAAUACUACUAUGAAAAUGCUAAAUGAUAUGCAGUAUAAUGUGAAACGCAUGUCAACAUGACCAAAAAAAAAAAAAAAAAAAAAAGUAUCGCUCCGUUCAUUAGGAACUUAACAUGAAGUAUUAAAGCAGAACAGAAUCUAAAGAGGUUUGGUUGUAAUGCACCUUCAUUUUUCAAGCUUUCAGAAUAAAAUACUAGCAAACUAAUAUCUUUAUCGAGUGGACUGAGUUAUUGAGACACUCUACAGAGAACAGAGCUUGACUUUAGUUUGUAGUGUAGCAAAAAUAAAAAACAGGUCACUCUAUAGAGAUCAUGAAUAACAGGAAACAAACACACAUCUAUAAAUAUCAGCAUAAAGAUGUAAUUCAUGCAUACAUACAUUCAAUGUUUUUUUACGCUGAUGGCGACAUAAAUACUCUCUUCAUCUCUAAAACAUCCUGUUUAAAGCAGGCAUUAAAACCGGUUUUGGCUGAGAUGAUAGUCAGAACAAGUGUAGUUGUUAUAAUACUAUAUAGUUGUAUAGUUGCGUUGCAAAAGUUUUAACAAACGUGGACAAUGUGAGUUAAAAAGUGAUAAGUCUCCUUGAACCUGGAAGCUUUUUUUAAUUAAAAUAAUGUGAUAAAUCUUAAGAUAAGUUUUUAUUUUUUGUUUAAUUGGUUCGACUAGAGCAUGACUGAAUAACAUACAGGGCUAAAAAUAAUAGGCAUACAGAAAAACAAGUGACCUCAUCUGUAUUUCUGGUUGUAAUUCUGACACUUACUUGUGUUUAGUUAAUUGAUUCGUUGUUUAAUGUUAUCUGUUCCUUGCUUUCUCCCUAUGUUUCCCUGUUCUUUGUCAGUUCUGCGUACCUGUGUUUCGUUGUAGGUUUUGUUUUUUAUUUAAUGAAGCUGUGGAGCAAUUUCUCCCCGAAUUGUGACAGAAAAACAAGUGGAUCUAGCAGUGGUUCAAACCUCCUCUUCACCCAGGGAUCUCUCAUAUAAACCCUCCCCUUUGAAAAGCUAUAAAAUGGGUGCUGAAACAGACACGUUAUUUCAUUCACCUCCCGCUCAAAGAUGGAUCUGCAGAUCUCAGUUUUUCUUCUGAUCAGUCUUUUCACUGCAGGACACUCUUUGUGGUGUUAUGAGUGCAAAGGUUCCUGUGCCAAUGAAAAGAUAAAAACAUGUCUUGAUGGAGAGUCUCAGUGCCUGAGUUCAACAACAAUGAUAAAAGUCGCUGGGGUCAGUCUUGAAGUAAAUGAUAAAGACUGUUCUGCUGACUGUUUCACUGGAUCUGUGAACUACAACAUUGGACAAAUAUCUUCUGAAUGCUGUAACACACCCCUGUGCAACCAACAAGACAUUUCAGAUAUUUCUAAGGUCUACAAUGGAUUGAAAUGUUACUUUUGUGAUGAGAAGAGCUGCUCAAACAUACUGCGCUGUACAGGAGAUCAAGAUCGCUGCUUUAAAGCAGAGGUGAAUUUUAGAUUUGCAUCAACAGUAGUAAAAGGCUGUGUCUCCAAAUCUAUGUGUGAUGCUAAAGCAUCACUUAAAAAUGUUCAGGAAGUCUCGUGCUGCUCAGGGAACCUGUGUAACGGUGUUCAGAGCGUCACUCAGACUGUUAGCGGUGUUCAGAGCGUCACUCAGAGCUUCCUGUUCCUCUUCUGUUCUCUUCUCUCCUUCAUCCUGCUGCACUGAACCCAGACGCUCUUCAGACACACCGCACCGAACACAGAGCUUGUACUUUCUCUGUACUUUGCAAUCAUCUCUUCAAUUUACUAUUAUAAACAAUGAUGAAAUGUAAUUUUGGGAUUAGCUUGCGAACACAUGCAUUUUAUACAUUUUAAUGAAUUUGUUAUAUUUUUUCAGAAUCAGAAAUUGCAUGAUUGUCCUCAGCUAAUUUUUUUUUUUUUAUUUAAUUCUAAUAAUGGCCCUUUAAUACUACUAUGAAAAUGCUAAAUGAUAUGCAGUAUAAUGUGAAACGCAUGUCAACAUGACCAUCACAAAAAAAUCAAAAAAAAAAAAGUAUCGCUCCGUUCAUUAGGAACUUAACAUGAAGUAUUAAAGCAGAACAGAAUCUAAAGAGGUUUGGUUGUAAUGCACCUUCAUUUUUCAAGCUUUCAGAAUAAAAUACUAGCAAACUAA